rnacentral:rRNA from 1 species
GUAAUGUCUGGGAAACUGCCUGAUGGAGGGGGAUAACUACUGGAAACGGUGGCUAAUACCGCAUAACGUCGCAAGACCAAAGAGGGGGACCUUCGGGCCUCUUGCCAUCAGAUGUGCCCAGAUGGGAUUAGCUUGUUGGUGAGGUAACGGCUCACCAAGGCGACGAUCCCUAGCUGGUCUGAGAGGAUGACCAGCCACACUGGAACUGAGACACGGUCCAGACUCCUACGGGAGGCAGCAGUGGGGAAUAUUGCACAAUGGGCGCAAGCCUGAUGCAGCCAUGCCGCGUGUAUGAAGAAGGCCUUCGGGUUGUAAAGUACUUUCAGCGGGGAGGAAGGUGUUGUGGUUAAUAACCGCAGCAAUUGACGUUACCCGCAGAAGAAGCACCGGCUAACUCCGUGCCAGCAGCCGCGGUAAUACGGAGGGUGCAAGCGUUAAUCGGAAUUACUGGGCGUAAAGCGCACGCAGGCGGUCUGUCAAGUCGGAUGUGAAAUCCCCGGGCUCAACCUGGGAACUGCAUUCGAAACUGGCAGGCUUGAGUCUUGUAGAGGGGGGUAGAAUUCCAGGUGUAGCGGUGAAAUGCGUAGAGAUCUGGAGGAAUACCGGUGGCGAAGGCGGCCCCCUGGACAAAGACUGACGCUCAGGUGCGAAAGCGUGGGGAGCAAACAGGAUUAGAUACCCUGGUAGUCCACGCCGUAAACGAUGUCUACUUGGAGGUUGUGCCCUUGAGGCGUGGCUUCCGGAGCUAACGCGUUAAGUAGACCGCCUGGGGAGUACGGCCGCAAGGUUAAAACUCAAAUGAAUUGACGGGGGCCCGCACAAGCGGUGGAGCAUGUGGUUUAAUUCGAUGCAACGCGAAGAACCUUACCUGGUCUUGACAUCCACAGAACUUUCCAGAGAUGGACUGGUGCCUUCGGGAACUGUGAGACAGGUGCUGCAUGGCUGUCGUCAGCUCGUGUUGUGAAAUGUUGGGUUAAGUCCCGCAACGAGCGCAAC